UACUUGGGAAUCUGCCUAGUAGUGGGGGAUAACUCGGGGAAACUCGAGCUAAUACCGCAUACGCCCAACGGGGAAGGAUUAUCGCUAUUAGAUGAGCCCAACGUCAGAUUAGCUAGUUGGUGGGGUAAAGGCCUACCAAGGCGACGAUCUGUAGCUGGUCUGAGAGGACGAACAGCCACACUGGGACUGAGACACGGCCCAGACUCCUACGGGAGGCAGCAGUGGGGAAUAUUGGACAAUGGGCGAAAGCCUGAUCCAGCAAUGCCGCGUGUGUGAAGAAGGCCUGCGGGUUGUAAAAGC
rnacentral:rRNA from 1 species